UGAGGAAUAUUGGUCAAUGGACGGAAGUCUGAACCAGCCAUGCCGCGUGCAGGACGACGCAUCUAUGGUGUGUAAACUGCUUUUAUACGGGAAGAAACCUCUCUACGUGUAGAGACUUGACGGUACCGUAAGAAUAAGGAUCGGCUAACUCCGUGCCAGCAGCCGCGGUAAUACGGAGGAUUCGAGCGUUAUCCGGAAUCAUUGGGUUUAAAGGGUCCGUAGGCGGGCUGUUAAGUCAGGGGUGAAAGUUUUCGGCUUAACCGAAAAAUUGCCUUUGAUACUGAUGGUCUUGAAUAUUUGUGAAGUAACUAGAAUAUGUGGUGUAGCGGUGAAAUGCAUAGAUAUCACAUGGAAUACCGAUUGCGAAGGCAGGUUACUAACAGAUUAUUGACGCUGAUGGACGAAAGCGUGGGUAGCGAACAGGAUUAGAUACC
rnacentral:rRNA from 1 species